rnacentral:rRNA from 1 species
UACGUAGGGGGCAAGCGUUGUCCGGAAUCAUUGGGCGUAAAGCGCGUGUAGGCGGCCUGCAAAGUCUGGUGUGAAAUCCCGGGGCUUAACCCCGGACUGUCACUGGAUACUGGCAGGCUUGAGUCCGGAAGAGGAGUGUGGAAUUCCUGGUGUAGCGGUGGAAUGCGCAGAUAUCAGGAGGAACACCUAUGGCGAAGGCAGCACUCUGGUACGUGACUGACGCUGAGACGCGAAAGCGUGGGGAGCAAACAGG